GGGAGUGAAAUAGAACCUGAAACCCUGCACUUACAAGCUGUGGAAGCACAUUUCUUGUGUGACCGCGUACUUUUUGUAGAACGGGCCAACGAGUUACGUUAAGUAGCAAGGUUAAGCACUUAAGGUGUGGAGCCGUAGCGAAAGCGAGUUUUAACUGAGCGUUCAGUUACUUGACGUAGACCCGAAACCGGGCGACCUACCCAUGAGCAGGAUGAAGCGAAAGUAAAAUUUCGUGGAGGU
rnacentral:rRNA from 1 species